rnacentral:rRNA from 1 species
UACGUAGGGUGCGAGCGUUAAUCGGAAUUACUGGGCGUAAAGCGUGCGCAGGCGGUGAUGUAAGACAGUUGUGAAAUCCCCGGGCUCAACCUGGGAACUGCAUCUGUGACUGCAUCGCUGGAGUGCGGCAGAGGGGGAUGGAAUUCCGCGUGUAGCAGUGAAAUGCGUAGAUAUGCGGAGGAACACCGAUGGCGAAGGCAAUCCCCUGGGCCUGCACUGACGCUCAGGCACGAAAGCGUGGGGAGCAAACAGG